GACGAACGCUGGCGGCGUGCCUAAUACAUGCAAGUCGAGCGGACGAAUCGAAAGCUUGCUUUUGAUUCGUAAGCGGCGGACGGGUGAGUAACACGUGGGCAACCUGACCUGAAGAAGGGGAUAACACCGAGAAAUCGGUGCCAAUACCGGAUAACACGUAACGUCGCAUGAAGUUUCGUUGAAAGACGGCGAUAGCAGAAGUCCCAGGAUGAGCCCGCGGCGCGUUAGUUAGUUGGUGAGGUAACGGCUCACCAAGGAGACGAGGCGUAGCCGACCAGAGGGGGAGAUCGGCCACACUGGGACUGAGACACGGCCCAGACUCCGACGGGAGGCAGCAGUAGGGAAUCUUCCGCAAUGGACGAGAGUCUGACGGAGCAACGCCGCGUGAGCGAUGAAGGCCUUCGGGUCGUAAAGCUCUGUUGUUAGGGAAGAACAAGUAACGCAGUAACUGGCGUUACCGUGACGGUACCUAACGAGAAAGCCACGGCUAACUACGUG
rnacentral:rRNA from 1 species